GUACAGAGGUCUCAAGCGGUUGUUCGGAAUUCAUUGGGCGUAAAGGGUGCGUAGGCGGCGCGGAUCAAGUCGGGUUAGUGGAAAUCUCGGACCUUAACUCCGAAACUGGCAUUCGAGUACUGCGGUGCUUUGAGGACUGGAGAGGAGACUAGGAAUUCAUGGUGUAGCAGUGAAAUGCGUAGAGAUCAUGAGGAAGACCAGUGGCGAAGGCGGGUCUCUGGACAGUUCCUGGACACUGAGGCACGAAGGCCAGGGGAGCAAACGGG
rnacentral:rRNA from 1 species